AUUUAUGUUGGAAAGGACUUUUAAGAUCAUCGAGUCCAACUAUUAACCUGACACUGCCAUGUCCACCACUAAACCAUAUCCCUAAGCACCACAUCUACACGUCUUUUAAAUACCUCCAGGAAUGGUGACUCC